CUGCACACUUCAAUAACACAUAUACUAAAAUUGGAAUGAUAACAGAGAAGGUUAGCAUGUCAUCUGUGCGGAGAUGACAUGAAAAUUCACAGAGUAUUCCAUGUAUUUU
ensembl:snRNA U6 U6 spliceosomal RNA